rnacentral:tRNA from 1 species
UUGCGUGCUGUAACAUAGUAAUUUUUCUCAAUUAGGAGAGAUGGCUGA